GCUUGCUUAGCUUAGAGGUAGAGUAUCGACAGUGCUAACGUCGAGGGCACCGGUUCGAUUCCGGUAGCGAGCGCCA
rnacentral:tRNA from 1 species